GCCAUAGAAGAAGAAUCUACCUGAAAAGGAGGAGGAUGAAGAAGCUUUCAAUUCUGGUCAUUUUACUGCUGUGUUAAAGUCACUGUUAGGAAACAAGCUCCGCGAUGCGACCAUCCACGUGAAUAAGGAAGCGAGGUAGCGCAAUUGCUCCGUCGGGAAUGCAUUCGCUCAACCAUGUCUCGGUGAAGCAGAGGGCAGCAGAUUGUCCGAAGUCUUUGCUGGUCCUUAUCAGGAGAUGAAGCAAGCUCGUCUUGUUUUUGAAGGAGAAUGAACAGGCUCUCACAGCACCUGCUCAGUGUGAAUGGUUGAAGCAGCAGCGCGCAAUGAUGACACUCCGUGCCCAUAUUUAGAAGUGCUGACGUAGGAUCCAACAAGGAAGUUGGGUGACUUUCCUCGAUGCUUUUACAGCAAGUUACUAGAAAUCCCACACGCAUUCCUGGCAGGACGUGGCCUGCUCCAACAUUAAUGGUUCCAGCAUAUAUGUGCACUAUGAUUGGCUACUGUGUACCAGAGGAACACGCAUUACUGCUUCCAGAUAGGAAAGGUAGGAUGUGAUUAACUGUAAGUGUUCAUGAUUCCCAACUACCGCUGACUCAUUCUAAUCUUAUCCUUUACUACUCCUUAUCCUUUAAAACCAGACCGGUCCCAAAGGGAGGGGCAUGGGUAUCAGACCACCUUACCUCACACAUGAUCCAACCUCCACCCAAAAUAUUUUGCCAUUGGUUAACGUUGAUAGUGUGUUUAUUUUUCCAGUUUAAUAAUAUUGUUUUUUUUUU